UGCAGAGCUGGAUGUGCCCUGAGGCCAAAACCUCCCGGAAGGAGGUGUGGGGGGGGCAAUAUGGAGUUUUUCCACUGCUGCAACUAGGUUGCCUGCUCUGUGCUUCUUCUUCAACUGCUUCCCCACCACCUGUGUUUGACACUCUGAACCUGGCACAGCUUUGCCCACAAUGGACUCCCUCCAUACCAGCACCCUUGCUUGGCCAGAGGUUCCAGUUUCUUUUCAGGAGGAGACAGAGCAGUUGGAAUUACUCUCUGGAGUAG
rnacentral:lncRNA from 1 species